rnacentral:rRNA from 1 species
UGGGGAAUAUUGCACAAUGGGGGAAACCCUGAUGCAGCGACGCCGCGUGGAGGAAGAAGGUCUUCGGAUUGUAAACUCCUGUUGUUGAGGAAGAUAAUGACGGUACUCAACAAGGAAGUGACGGCUAACUACGUGCCAGCAGCCGCGGUAAAACGUAGGUCACAAGCGUUGUCCGGAAUUACUGGGUGUAAAGGGAGCGCAGGCGGGAAGACAAGUUGGAAGUGAAAUCCAUGGGCUCAACCCAUGAACUGCUUUCAAAACUGUUUUUCUUGAGUAGUGCAGAGGUAGGCGGAAUUCCCGGUGUAGCGGUGGAAUGCGUAGAUAUCGGGAGGAACACCAGUGGCGAAGGCGGCCUACUGGGCACCAACUGACGCUGAGGCUCGAAAGUGUGGGUAGCAAACA